rnacentral:misc_RNA from 1 species
UCUAUUGGACGGAACACAGAG